GCUAGCGGCAGGCCUAUACAUGCAAGUCGAACGGCAGCACGAACUUCGGUUUGGUGGCGAGUGGCGCACGGGUGCGUAACGCGUAUGCAACCUACCCUUAACAGGGGGAUAGCCCGGAGAAAUUCGGAUUAAUAUUUUAUAGUAUUAUUAGAUGGCAUCUGAAAAUAAUUAAAGAUUUAUCGGUUAAGGAUGGGCAUGCGUGACAUUAGUUAGUUGGUAAGGUAACGGCUUACCAAGACGAUGAUGUCUAGGGGUUCUGAGAGGAUGAUCCCCCACAAGUGGUACUGAGAUACGGACCAGACUCCUACGGGAGGCAGCAGUAGGGAAUAUUGGUCAAUGGGCGAGAGCCUGAACCAGCCAUGCCGCGUGCAGGAAGACGGCCUUCUGGGUUGUAAACUGCUUUUAUCAGGGAACAAAACGCCCAUGCGUGGGUAACUGAGUGUACCUGAAGAAUAAGCACCGGCUAACUCCGUGCCAGCAGCCGCGGUAAUACGGAGGGUGCAAGCGUUGUCCGGAUUAGUUGGGUUUAAAGGGUGCGUAGGCGGUCGAUUAAGUCAGUGGUGAAAUCCUACAGCUCAACUGUAGAACUGCCAUUGAUACUGGUUGACUUGAGUACAGACGAGGUAGGCGGAAUUUAUGGUGUAGCGGUGAAAUGCAUAGAUACCAUAAAG
rnacentral:rRNA from 1 species